AUUGAACGCUGGCGGCAUGCCUUACACAUGCAAGUCGAACGGCAGCACGGGAGCAAUCCUGGUGGCGAGUGGCGAACGGGUGAGUAAUAUAUCGGAACGUGCCCAGUCGUGGGGAUAACGUAGCGAAAGCUACGCUAAUACCGCAUACGAUCUAUGGAUGAAAGCGGGGGAUCGCAAGACCUCGCGCGAUUGGAGCGGCCGAUAUCAGAUUAGGUAGUUGGUGAGGUAAAGGCUCACCAAGCCGACGAUCUGUAGCUGGUCUGAGAGGACGACCAGCCACACUGGGACUGAGACACGGCCCAGACUCCUACGGGAGGCAGCAGUGGGGAAUAUUGGACAAUGGGCGAAAGCCUGAUCCAGCAAUGCCGCGUGAGUGAUGAAGGCCUUAGGGUUGUAAAGCUCUUUUACCCGAGAUGAUAAUGACAGUAUCGGGAGAAUAAGCUCCGGCUAACUCCGUGCCAGCAG
rnacentral:rRNA from 1 species